rnacentral:rRNA from 1 species
AUUGAACGCUGGCGGCAUGCCUUACACAUGCAAGUCGAACGGUAACAGGUUAAGCUGACGAGCGGCGAACGGGUGAGUAAUAUAUCGGAACGUGCCCAGUCGUGGGGGAUAACGUAGCGAAAGCUACGCUAAUACCGCAUACGAUCUACGGGUGAAAGCGGGGGAUCGCAAGACCUCGCGCGAUUGGAGCGGCCGAUAUCAGAUUAGGUUGUUGGUGAGGUAAAAGCUCACCAAGCCUGCGAUCUGUAGCUGGUCUGAGAGGACGACCAGCCACACUGGAACUGAGACACGGUCCAGACUCCUACGGGAGGCAGCAGUGGGGAAUUUUGGACAAUGGACGCAAGUCUGAUCCAGCAAUGCCGCGUGCAGGACGAAGGCCUUCGGGUUGUAAACUGCUUUUGUACGGAACGAAACGGUGAGCUCUAAUACGGUUUGCUAAUGACGGUACCGUAAGAAUAAGCACCGGCUAACUACGUGCCAGCCGCCGCCGUAA